CACGUGGGUAACCUGCCCAAGAGAUCGGGAUAACACCUGGAAACAGAUGCUAAUACCGGAUAACAACAGAUGAUGCCUAUCAACUGUUUAAAAGAUGGUUCUGCUAUCACUCUUGGAUGGACCUGCGGUGCAUUAGCUAGUUGGUAGGGUAACGGCCUACCAAGGCGAUGAUGCAUAGCCUAGUUGAGAGACUUAUCGGCCACAUUGGGACUGAGACACGGCCCAAACUCCUACGGGAGGCAGCAGAC
rnacentral:rRNA from 1 species